GCUUUCUUCACUGGAGCUCGUCUCAAGACCUUUUUUGCCAGGGUUGGCCUCAAAUGAUAAUCCUCCUGAUCUCCAUCUCCUAAGUAACUAGGAUUAUAGGUGAGAGCCUCUUGUACUUUGUACAUCUCAGUGUUUCAAAAUGAGAUCAUCUAUUUCAGGAAAAGGUCUGGCUCACAGGUGCCAAAUUGACAUUAAUUUCCUUCUUCUACUACAUUUGGUUCCAUCUUACACAGGUAAACUUUAGCUAACAUCCACUCACAUUGACACCUCAUCAGUUAAUCAAUCAGCAUUGAGGACUGUUUUAUGUAAGGCACAAUGGGAAACCUAGGGUGACAAGUACCAUGCAAUGCAAUUCUAACCUGAUUAAGGUUCAUGUGUGGGAACACAUGAAAAGUUAAAGAAUAAUAGUUGGUUAUCAAUUCACCAAUAGAAGUUGCCACUAAACUCAUCUAAAGUAAUGAUCCCACAACUACUAUGACCAGAGCUCAAGAGGCUGCAAGUUUGCAGCCACACUGAAAUGAAUGUUGUCACAGAAGCAAAAGGAUGUGAAAGAAGCGUUGAAGUUAGGAAACCUGUGAGAGAGAGGAAGGUAGUUUACUCUGAACAAAGCCUUUGGAUUCUCCUCCUCAUCUUCCCUCAGUGACCUUCAAAGAUCUUGUUUACUUGCAGCGAAGUGUUCAGUUCCAGACAUGGUUCCAGAACAGAGGCAUGAGGAACUGAAGAACAUUAGCCAUUGAAGCUAACAAGACAUGACAGUGAUUAGAUCAAGAUGAUGAUGGGGGAAAUAAUGAGACAACAAUGGAAUUUGCUUUAAAUGUUAUUUUUAAGGAAAGGGAAGAAAAAGUGUAAUAAGGUAAAUAUGAGAAAAUUAUAAAUUUUGAAUCCCAGUGAAGAAUUUAUAGGAAAUAAUUAUUCUAUUCUCUCUAUGUUUGCAUGUUUGAAAACUGUCAUAAUAAAAGUUUAGAACUAAAAUGUAGAUAGUUACUUAUAAGAGGAAGUAGAGCACCAGAGAAUAAGUGCCAAGAAUGGGUGUGACACAGGGUAGAGUUUUUUGUUUGUUAAACAAGAGGAAAAUGAAAAA